CCUACGGGUGGCAGCAGUGAGGAAUAUUGGUCAAUGGACGAGAGUCUGAACCAGCCAAGUCGCGUGAAGGAUGACUGCCCUCUGGGUUGUCAACUUCUUUUAUAAAGGAAUCAAACGCGGCACGUGUGCCUUUUUGCAUGUACUUUAUGAAUAAAGCUCGGCCCACUCCGUGCCAGCAGCCGCGGUGAUACGGAGGAUCCGAGCGUUAUCCGGAUGUAUUGGGGUUAAAGGGAGCGUAGAUGGGUUGUUAAGGCAGUCGUGAAAGUUUGGGGCUCAACCGUAAAAUUGCAAUUGAUACUGGCAGUCUUGAGUACAGUUGAGGUAAGCGGAAUUCGUGGUGUAGCGGUGAAAUGCUUAGAUAUCACGAAGAACCCCGAUUGCGAAGGCAGCUUACUAAACUGUGACUGACAUUGAUGCUCGAAAGUGUGGGUAUCAAACAGGAUUAGAUACCCCUGUAGUC
rnacentral:rRNA from 1 species